UACGGGGGGGGCAAGCGUUGUUCGGAAUUACUGGGCGUAAAGGGCUCGUAGGCGGCCAACUAAGUCAGACGUGAAAUCCCUCGGCUUAACCGGGAACUGCGUCUGAUACUGGAUGGCUAGAGGUUGGGAGAGGGAUGCGGAAUUCCAGGUGUAGCGGUGAAAUGCGUAGAUAUCUGGAGGAACACCGGUGGCGAAGGCGGCAUCCUGGACCAAUUCUGACGCUGAGGAGCGAAAGCCAGGGAGCAAACGGG
rnacentral:rRNA from 1 species